UGAUUUGCACAAGGGUCCAGUCUUCCUUUAUAUAGCCUGAGCUAGCACGAGCUAGGUCUUGAAUUGGGCUUCAAAAAAAUGCAGCAGGUCCAGAAGUUACUUCAAGGAAUAUUCUUGAAUCAAAUGUUUUGUUUCCAUAAAUAGUUGAUGCAUUCUGAAACAAAACUAGGUCAUGGCCGCCUUCUAGAACAUUAGGAAAGGCGUGCUGCUUGGUGCACAAGUAAAAAGGCGA
rnacentral:lncRNA from 1 species